rnacentral:rRNA from 1 species
GUACACACCGCCCGUCACACCAUGGGAGUGGGUUGCACCAGAAGUCGCUAGCUUAACCUUCGGGAGGGCGGUGACCACGGUGUGAUUCAUGACUGGGGUGAAGUCGUAACAAGGUAGCCGUAGGUGAACCUGCAGAAGGAUCA